ensembl:lncRNA
GAGAAAGGUGAACAACACUGGGGGAAAAGUAUUGGUAUAGGCUGUAAAUGAACGUGCAGACAUCGCUAAAAAUGAAGCCCAUUCAAUUGUAUUUUAAGCGAAUAAGAGACGAGGAGAAAGAGUAAUCAGGCGAGGGGGAUUCGCAAGGUUCAACUAAUGAAGCCUCUUCACAAGAUUUACGUGAGGCGGUUAGCGAAGCUACGGUGACCCCGGCUGUCACUUCAACGUCCACUGUAGCCGGCGGAGGGAGAACAUAUAGAUUCAAUGCGAAUUGGCUCAAAAUGUUCCCAUGGCUAGAGUUAGAAAACAAUGUAAUGUUCUGCAAAUAUUGUAGAAGGCUGAAACAGGCGGGCAACUCGUCCUUCGUGUCAGGAAAAAGAGAGAUAGCGCAGCGAAACAUAACAUCUGGCUGCGGCAUAUCCAGUGCAGAGAUCUGAACAUGUUGAGACAGGAGACACCAUAAAGCACGGUGUCAGCAGCCUUGAGGAGACAAGUGUUUCUGUCUGAGGAGGAGACAAACAUAACAUACUAAAUUGCGAAAGAACCUUUAGUCAAAUUUGUUCGGACAACAGACUUCGGGACACUCAACGCCAUUGGUGUUUUGGAUGCCACCAAGGCCGCAUAUCGUGCUGUUUGCCCAGAGGAAGAUGGCGGGUCAUGGAUGAAGAAGUGCGUCUCCUUCGGGGCAGAUGGUGCCACCGUGGGGGAGUGAUUGACCACCUGCAGAGGGGCAGGGGGGCAUAUAAUCCCAAUCCACUGUAUGCCACAUAUAUUUGUAACUAAUAAAUGAUCUGAUUUAGUUUUAUUUGCUAGCAGAUAAUGUUAAACAAUACUGUGUGUGUCUGUGUGUGCGCUAAGUGCUGGAAUGGUAAAUACCACAGAAUUAUUGUAUUCUGUUGACACAAGAGAUGGAGGGGAUGAAUUGUUUGGAAGAUUCAGUUCUGACUUUCACAGGCUAGAGCUGGCAAUACUGACCAUUCAGAAGAAAGAGCCAAAUGUGUCUGUAUGAUCUUCUGAAUGUGAUAUGUAUCACUUCAGAAGAUGUAUCAUUUCAGCGGAAAAUCCAAACGAUGUUGUUCUAUGUUCUCGGGCAAGAGCUCAGUGUAGAUAUUUGCACACCGUCUAGCGUCAAGGAAACUCGCUGGAUCCCCCAUGUCCACAGAGCCCUCCAAGUGUUCCUGAGGCAUGGACAAGACAAGGACCUUACCGCCGACGAAGGCCAGUACUCCGUUGUUCUGCAACACAUCAACAACAGCGGAUGUUCAAGGGCAGGCAAAAGAAGGGUAUAACACUGAAGGGGAAUCUGAAAGGCUUCACAGACCUCACCAAUCCCUAGCUGAAGCAGCACAUGGAGGCGGCCAUCAACAUUGGUGUGGAGGAUCUCAAAGCCAUGUUUGGUGGUUUGCUGAAGAGUGAGGUAGUCCAGACCCCAGUGGAGUCUUUCAGAGUGGUAAACCCUGACACAUGGCCAGAAGACCAGGCCAGCCUUCUCACCUUUGGCGACGAUGGUGUGGCAGACCUGAUAAGGCAUUUUAAGGAGCUGAGAAUUUAUUUGACACUGCAUUGCCAUAUGAGACAAUGUUAUAUUUGCAUAUUUGUAAACUCACUUGCUCUGUUAAAUCCUAC